rnacentral:rRNA from 1 species
UCGAGCGAGAUGGGUAGCAAUACCUUAGUAAAGCGGCGUACGGGUGAGUAACACGUGGGUAUCCACCUCUUAGUGGGGAAUAACUCGGGGAAACCUGAGCUAAUACCGCAUAAGUCCGAGAGGAGAAAGCAGCAAUGCGCUGAGAGAGGAGCCCGCGGCCGAUUAGCUAGAUGGCGGGGUAAAGGCCCACCAUGGCGACGAUCGGUAGCCGGCCUGAGAGGGCACACGGCCACACUGGCACUGAAACACGGGCCA